rnacentral:rRNA from 1 species
AUUGAACGCUGGCGGCAGGCCUAACACAUGCAAGUCGAGCGAGCGGCGGACGGGUGAGUAAUGUAUGGGGACUGCCCGAUAGAGGGGGAUAACUACUGGAAACGGUGGCUAAUACCGCAUACUAUCGGAUAACCCAUAUGGGAUUAGCUAGUAGGUGGGGUAAAGGCUCACCUAGGCGACGAUCUCAAGCUGGUCUGAGAGGAUGAUAAGCAGCACUGGGACAGAGACACGGCCCAAACUCCUACGGGGGCAGCAGUGGGGAAAAUUGCACAAUGGGCGCAAGCCUGAUGCAGCCAUGCCGCGUGUAUAAAGAAGGCCUUAGGGUUGGAAAGUACUUUCAGCGGGGAGGCGUUACCCGCAGAAGAAGCACCGGCUAACUCCGUGCCAGCAGCCGCGGUAAUAC